rnacentral:lncRNA from 1 species
GAGAAAUUUGAAUUUCUUUUUUAAUAUUUUAACAUUCUCUCAGCUUGUAUCAUGUGCUCAUUCUUCUUUUUGGUUGAUGAUCUUUUUGAUUUGUAAGAGUUAUUUUUUACAAAGUAAGUUGCAUAUUUUUAUAAGUUGUUGUUAUGGUUUGUAUGUAGUUUGUCUCUGCCAAAGCUAAUGUUGAAAUUUAGUUGCCAAUGUAAUGGUCUUGGGAGGUGGGGCAUUUUAGAAGAUAGUUAGGUCAUUAAGAUGGGUUAAUGUCUUUCUCACAAAACUGGGUUAGUUCUUGCAAUAUUGGAUUCGUUCCCUUGAGAGUAGCUUGUUAUAAAGCUAGGUUGCCUUUGUGUUCUCUUUUGCACAGGCUCCCAGCCACGUGAUCUAUCCGCCAUAUUACUAUGCAGCAUGAGACUAUCGCCAGAUGCAGCUACCCAGUAUGGAAACUUCUCAGUCUCCAGAACUGUUAGGAGCUGUUUCCUUCCAUCCGUAACAAAGAGCUGAGUCAUUGAAUGGGAUCCAGAAGGGCAGAUACACACAGAAGGUGAUGGGAGCAAAUUGAAAAGAGCCUGCAAUUCCAACUACCAGAGUCAAAGAGUGGCUGAAAAGAUCUCUGGGAAGAGUCAUGGAAUCAGGAUCCUGGAGAAACAGCACAGGAGCUGCGCUUCGGUUCCCUGAUGAAUUGAGCAUUUGUUGCCCUGGAAAAAGAAUCCAUCCUGUGGGGAUGUCAAUGGCGGGAUGUCAGUGGCAGCUGAAUGAAGACCAGAAAGGAUGAAGAAUUGCAGAUCGAGCCCUGGCCCCAGUUGGAUGUGAUUUCAACCAAGUGUGGUAUUAUUUUUCCUUUUUCUUUAAUGGCCUUG